rnacentral:misc_RNA from 1 species
AAGUCGUAACAAGGUUUCCGUAGGUGAACCUGCGGAAGGAUCAUUAUUGAAUAAACUUGGUGUAUUGUUGCUGGCUCCUUGGGGCAUGUGCACAUAUACUUUUGUUUCUUUCUCCACCUGUGCACCUUUUGUAGACUUGGAUAUCUUUCGAGGAAACUCGGUUUGAGAGUUGCUAAUGUUCUCUUUUGAACUUGGCUUCUCUUGCAUUUCCAGUCUAUCUUUUCACAUACCCUAUAGUAUGUUUUAGAAUGUCUAUCAUGGGCUUUAUUGCCUUAAAAGUUAAUACAA